rnacentral:rRNA from 1 species
UUGCACCUGGUGGCGAGUGGCGAACGGGUGAGUAAUACAUCGGAACAUGUCCUGUAGUGGGGGAUAGCCCGGCGAAAGCCGGAUUAAUACCGCAUACGAUCUACGGAUGAAAGCGGGGGACCUUCGGGCCUCGCGCUAUAGGGUUGGCCGAUGGCUGAUUAGCUAGUUGGUGGGGUAAAGGCCUACCAAGGCGACGAUCAGUAGCUGGUCUGAGAGGACGACCAGCCACACUGGGACUGAGACACGGCCCAGACUCCUACGGGAGGCAGCAGUGGGGAAUUUUGGACAAUGGGCGAAAGCCUGAUCCAGCAAUGCCGCGUGUGUGAAGAAGGCCUUCGGGUUGUAAAGCACUUUUGUCCGGAAAGAAAUCCCUGGCUCUAAUACAGUCGGGGGAUGACGGUACCGGAAGAAUAAGCACCGGCUAACUACGUGCCAGCAGCCGCGGUAAUACGUAGGGUGCGAGCGUUAAUCGGAAUUACUGGGCGUAAAGCGUGCGCAGGCGGUCUGUUAAGACAGAUGUGAAAUCCCCGGGCUCAACCUGGGAACUGCAUUUGUGACUGGCAGGCUAGAGUAUGGCAGAGGGGGGUAGAAUUCCACGUGUAGCAGUGAAAUGCGUAGAGAUGUGGAGGAAUACCGAU